rnacentral:rRNA from 1 species
UCCGCAUGGGUAAAGAAUUUCGGUUGUCGAUGGGGAUGCGUUCCAUUAGGCAGUUGGCGGGGUAACGGCCCACCAAACCUACGAUGGAUAGGGGUUCUGAGAGGAAGGUCCCCCACAUUGGAACUGAGCCACGAUCCAACCCUAUACGGGAGGCAGCAGUGAGGAAUAUUGGUCAAUGGACGAGAGUCUGAACCAGCCAAGUAGCGUGAAGGAUGACUGCCUAUGGGUUGUAAACUUCUUUUAUACGGGAAUAAGUGAGCCACGUGUGGCUUUUUGUAUGUACCGUAUGAAUAAGGAUCGGCUAACUCCGUGCCAGCAGCCGCGGUAAUACGGAGGAUCCGAGCGUUAUCCGGAUUUAUUGGGUUUAAAGGGAGCGUAGGCGGGUUGUUAAGUCAGUUGUGAAAGUUUGCGGCUCAACCGUAAAAUUGCAGUUGAUACUGGCGACCUUGAGUGCAACAGAGGUAGGCGGAAUUCGUGGUGUAGCGGUGAAAUGCUUAGAUAUCACGAAGAACUCCGAUUGCGAAGGCAGCUUACUGGAUUGUAACUGACGCUGAUGCUC